rnacentral:rRNA from 1 species
ACCCGUUGAUCCUGCGGGAGGUCGCUACUAUUAGGGUUCGACUAAGCCAUGCAAGUCAGAGGGGCUCUUCGGAGUCACAGGCAAAAUGCUCAGUAACACGUCGUUAAUCUAACCUUAGAUCUGGAAUAACCUUGGAAAACUGAGGCUAAAACCGGAUAUGGGAAAAUAAUUGGAAAAUGUUCUCCUUUAAAAGCAAUGUCUAAGGAUGAGACGGCGGCGGAUUAGGUUGUUGGCGGGGUAAUGGCCCACCAAGCCGACGAUCCGUAGGGGCCGUGAGAGCGGUAGCCCCGAGAAGGACACUGAGAUACUGGUCCUAGCCCUACGGGGUGCAGCAGGCGCGAAACCUUUACAAUGCACGAAAGUGUGAUAAGGGAACCCUAAGUGCUCAUGUUUUACAUGGGCUUUUGCCAAGAAUAAAUAUCUUGGCGAAUAAGUGGUGGGAAAGACUGGUGCCAGCAGCCGCGGUAACACCAGCGCCACAAGUAGGGACCACUACUAUUGGGCCUAAAGCGUCCGUAGCCGGCUGAAUAAAUUUCUUGUGAAAUUGUUGGGCUUAACCUAACAACGUGCAGGAAAAACUGUUCAGCUUGGAACCGGGAGAAGUCAGGAGUAUGCUGGGGGGAGCGGUAAAAUGUUAUAAUCCCCGGUAGACUACCAGUGGCGAAGGUGCCUGACUAGAACGGAUUCGACGGUGAGGGACGAAGGCCAGGGGAGCGAAGCGGAUUAGAUACCCGUGUAGUCCUGGCCGUAAACGCUGCGAGCUAGGUGUUGCAUAUUCUACAUGAAUAUGCAGUAUCGAAGCGAAGGUGAUAAGCUCGCCGCCUGGGAAGUAUGGUCGCAAGGCUGAAACUUAAAGGAAUUGGCGGGGGAGCACUACAAGGGGUGCGGCGUGCGGUUUAAUCUAAUUCAACGCAGAGAAUCUCACCAGAAGCGACGGCAGGAUGAAAGUCAGGCUAAAGGUCUUACUUGACGAGCCGAGAGGUAGUGCAUGGCCGCCGUCAGCUCGUGCUGUAAAGUGUCCUGUUAAGUCAGGCAACGAGCGAGACCUGCAUCUACAAUUGCUAACGGAUUCUUUAGAAUGACUGAGCACAUUGUGGAGACUGCCCUGGAAACAGGGAGGAAGGUGCAGUUACGGUAGGUCUGUAUGCUCCGAAUCUUCUGGGCUACACGCGCGCAACAAUGGUAAGGACAAUGGGAUGCGACUCCGAAAGGAGGAGCUAAUCCUCGAAACCUUAUCCAAGUCUAGAUUGAGGAUUGUAACUCAUCCUCAUGACAAUGGAAUCCCUAGUAAUCAGAGUUUAUCAUACUCCGGUGAACACGUCCCUGCUCCUUGCACACACCGCCCGUCAAGCCACCCGAGUAGGGUUUAGGUGAGAGGUAAAUUUUAUUUGCAUCGAACCUAAGCUCAGCGAGGAGGGCUAAGUCGUCACAAGGUA